rnacentral:rRNA from 1 species
AUUGAACGCUGGCGGCAUGCUUUACACAUGCGAGUCGAACGGCAGCGCGGGCUUCGGCCUGGCGGCGAGUGGCGAACGGGUGAGUAAUGCAUCGGAACGUGCCCAGUAGUGGGGGAUAGCCCGGCGAAAGCCGGAUUAAUACCGCAUACGACCUGAGGGUGAAAGCGGGGGACCGAAAGGCCUCGCGCUAUUGGAGCGGCCGAUGUCGGAUUAGCUAGUUGGUGGGGUAAAGGCUUACCAAGGCGACGAUCCGUAGCUGGUCUGAGAGGACGACCAGCCACACUGGGACUGAGACACGGCCCAGACUCCUACGGGAGGCAGCAGUGGGGAAUUUUGGACAAUGGGGGCAACCCUGAUCCAGCCAUGCCGCGUGCGGGAAGAGGGCCUUCGGGUUGUAAACCGCUUUUGUUCGGGAAGAAAUCCUCUGGGCUAAUACCCCGGGGGGAUGACGGUACCGGAAGAAUAAGCACCGGCUAACUACGUG